rnacentral:rRNA from 1 species
GAUGAACGCUGGCGGCGUGCUUAACACAUGCAAGUCGAACGGGAAUUACUUUAUUGAAACUUCGGUCGAUUUAAUUUAAUUCUAGUGGCGGACGGGUGAGUAACGCGUGGGUAACCUGCCUUGUACAGGGGGAUAACAGUCAGAAAUGACUGCUAAUACCGCAUAAGCGCACAGGACCGCAUGGUCCGGUGUGAAAAACUCCGGUGGUAUAAGAUGGACCCGCGUUGGAUUAGCUAGUUGGCAGGGUAACGGCCUACCAAGGCGACGAUCCAUAGCCGGCCUGAGAGGGUGAACGGCCACAUUGGGACUGAGACACGGCCCAGACUCCUACGGGAGGCAGCAGUGGGGAAUAUUGCACAAUGGGGGAAACCCUGAUGCAGCGACGCCGCGUGAAGGAAGAAGUAUCUCGGUAUGUAAACUUCUACCAGCAGG